UACGGAGGGUGCAAACGUUGCUCGGAAUCAUUGGGCGUAAAGCGCACGUAGGCGGCUCGUUAAGUCGGAUGUGAAAUCCCCAGGCUUAACCUGGGAAUUGCAUCCGAUACUGGAUGGCUUGAAUCCGGGAGAGGGAUGCGGAAUUCCAGGUGUAGCAGUGAAAUGCGUAGAUAUCUGGAGGAACACCGGUGGCGAAGGCGGCAUCCUGGACCGGCAUUGACGCUGAGGAGCGAAAGCCAGGGGAGCAAACGGG
rnacentral:rRNA from 1 species